UUUAUAAACAAAGUUGUGACAACUUUAUCAGGGUUCGUGCAGGCCGCCAACAAAACAAUUUAAAGGCCUUUCAAGGACUAAAAGUUUUCAAGGAUUUUUCCAGUGUCUUACAAGCAGAAUACAAUCCAAAUAUAGUAAAUAAUAAUUAAUAUCAAAGUCGCUUCGUUCACUGAUCUUCCCAUCACUGCAUGCCACCGUGGCUGUCAACACAUGGACAGGGAGCUGUGAAAUUCCUCAGUUUUUCCUAAAAUUCUGCUACCGAAAUUGCAUAUAUGCUUCCUCCCGCCCAACAAGCGUGUCGUUAUAUUUUCAUGUCAAAAUAGCGGCCACAUUUAGAUUUUACAUCACUGGCUCAGUAACAUCUGACUGGUUAACUGGGUAGAUUUUCAUUACGUACAAACAGACACAAACUACAUAAAUUAAGUCUAAAUGGUUCAUACCAAUAAAGUAGUUUUUGGAAGCUUUAAAAUUCCCUUGGAAAUCUUAACAACUUGCAAUUCCCUACAAGAAUCCCUAAAACCAUACAAAAUUCUUGUUUGUAAGGAGAAAUCCCUGAAAACAAGAGCACUGUACAUUGAAAGAGAUAUAGAGCAUAUUGAAGAAGUUGGUGCUAUCAAAACUGUGCACAGUGGUCUCUGCUAUUUUACUUAUUAAUUAAUAUUUGUACGAUUUUCAAGCACUUUUCUGAAGGUCUUUUAACAGAUUUUGUAUUUUCAAG